AAGAAAAACUAGUUUCAGUGACCAAAUUCUCAGCGACCAUAACUAAAUGGUCACUGAAUAUUCACAUUUAGUGACCAAAAGUACUUUUGUAGCAAAAGUGGGAAGGGUUAAAUCUUGUUGCGACGAGCGAACAUUUGGUAGCUAUAAGUGGUCACUAAUAGCUAGACAUCUUGUAGCAACUAAAGUUAAAGUUUGUAGCGACAAUUUUUAUGGUCACUAUAACUUAGUGUCAAUAGUGACCAAUUUAACAUUAAACUUUUUUACGGUUGCUACAAGUCUUUAAUUUAAUUAUUAACAACCAUCUAAUUGGGUUGCUAGUAACCACUUGAAUUUGGUUACUAUGAAACUACUUUCGGAAAUCAAAUCAAUUUGGUCACUAGUUUAGUUUUUAAACAAAUCAAGAAAAGAAAAGAAAAUAAAAGAAAGAUGGAGGGCCAAAAUGCAAAUAAUGAAAAAAUACAGCCAAUUGGCCGAAUUCUCAUUCUUUCGUUCCUUCAUCACAAAACUGUUCACUCUCUCCUUACGCUCUCUCUACCAAUUCUCGGCUAAUAUCACAGAAAAUCAAGAAAGAGUUCUCUCCAAAAGUAUUCUCGUAUUUCACCCAAUUUCUCCAAAAGUAUUCUCCUAUUUCACCCAAUUUCUCCAAGCCUUACUUCCUACCCCUAUCAGAGAAUUUUUGAAUUCAAUAAAGGGGAUUCGGAUGAAUUGAUUAUAGGAAAAGAAUUGGGGAUUUGAAAAGAUAAUUUCAGAUUUGGGUUUUAAGGAAAAAUAAAAGUUUGGAGACCUUCGAGAAUGAAUCUCGUCGAUCAGGACCCACCUUUGGAAUAAUUGUGAGUUCGGAUGUACUCGGGUGUUGGUGAUUUCCGGCAGAGGUCGUCGAUGGUGGCCGGAGUCUGGAGUUCAGCUUUUGGCUCUUCAAAGAAUUAAAUGAACGGAGGUGUUAACGGUGGAGUAUUGAUGAUAGAAGGUACCGUUACAAACCUCGAGAAGUUAGCUUCCCAUUGAUGGUGGUGCUCGGCAGUUUUAUUCGUCGGUGGUCGCCGAAAUUUGGUGUGAAAUUCAGCCUGCUCGCCGGAACUCUAAGGGAAAUAAAAUCUGCUACCGCAUCUGUUUUCGGAGCCAAAAUCGAAGGGUUUGGAGUGUGAAUUUGGGAAUCAUUCCUUCUCAAAACUCGUAGAGAACCUCGAAAACUAUGAGUGUGUCAUUCGUGGUUGUGUACCUAAGAAAAUUUUGGUCUAUGAUGUUGCUUUUGGUGCUAACUCGAGCUAUGUUGGCGAAAUUAUGAGAAAUAGUAAACCUUCUGCCGCACCUGUUUUCGGAGUCGAAAUCGAAGGGUUUGGAGUGAGAUUUUCGAAUCAGUCUCUUCACAAAACUCGUCGAGGACCGUGAUAAUUAUAUGUUAUAACUUAUAAAUGCCAAAUUUGCAGUUGAGGCUAAAGUUUAGUUGGUGGCUCUACUGAUAAGGCACCCAAUUUCAGGCACCCGUAGAGAGGCAGAGGCAGUUGAAGCUAAUGAUAUUACUUCAAUCAAGUUCCAGAUGUGAAUGUUGUCAGCGGUUUUAAGUUCAAUUUAAUCGGCGAGGCAGUGUUUGGUUUCUUUGGUUGCUACUGUAUAUAGAUUGAUCACUGAUUUAAUUCACUUGUCAACAAUUAAUUAGUUAGGUGCUAAUAUGUAGUAACCAGCUAUCAAUUCAAAUUUUUUUCCUCACAAUUAUUAUUUGGUUUUUGUCAUUAGUAGCAAUAAACAAUUGUUUUUCGUUCA